ensembl:lncRNA
GUAAACACGACAGAGACACAGUAGAGACCAGUGGAUUAUUAUCAGGGAGUGACUCAACAUAAAUAAACCUGGACAAACCAGUUGGUCUGGUCGGUACACUUCUUUACCUGCUGCUAGGAGAGAGGAGGAACGUAGAACUACUGAAACCUGACAACAGACAGAGGCCAGGUGAGGGUAUAGGGGAGGACAGAGAGGCCAGAGAGAGGCCAGGUGAGGGUAUAGGGGAGGACAGAGGAGUAAAUACAGGUCACCUUUGUAGUCCACCUGCCUCUCUCUCCCUGCCACUCCCCAGGAGUCAGGAAUGUUGUUUUCAUUCCAGCCAGGUAGAAAAGACAGGUGGAACAUAAUCUCUUCAGACCUGCUUAUUGUUUUGAAAGUUCAAAGUCUCCUACAAAAUAAAUAUAAUAUAAUCAUUUACGCCAUUUAGCAGACACUUUUAUCCAAGGUAAAUUACAGUAAUGCGUGCAUCCAUUUUAUUUAUUUUUUACAUAUGGGUGGUCCCUGGAAUCAAACCCACUAUCCUGGUAUUACAAGCACCAUGCUCUCCCACCUGAUCUCCAGAGGACCACGUAAAUCCAUACAUGUUGGAAUAAUGCAUCUUAACCAGCCAAGAAAACAUACAAGUACCUGAAACGUCACGGUCUCUCUGCACCUACUCAUUGGUUCUACCACUGCAGUGUUGGCAGACGAACAAACACACACCGCUGAGUUAAUCUCCUGGCCCCAAGUCCUACCCACUGUGGACUGGACCAAGGAGGGCUAGUAGUUAGCCUGUAAAUACUGGGAGGAAUGCAGGGUUCUCUGAAGCUGACAGGCUGCUCCAGCUUCAGGUCAGGGUUCAUCUCAGUACCCCAGGUCAGAGACCUACCAAUCCCCCCCACCACUAGAUACCUACCAAUCCCCCCCCACCA